GUUCCCUCAAAGGCCUUUCUGUCUCUGUUUGAUGUCCCCGACAGUGUAUAACUCCUGCCUCAGUUGGGAGAUGUGCAGCCUGAAGGAGUUGGUAAAUAAGGGGCCGUUAGUGAUAGGCGUCCCUUUGGCAGUGAGGAAUCCCCUCUCUUGCCAGAUGAUGGUGUGAGAAUGAAGAAUGUGAUAUGCAUAUUUGGAGUCUGUGUAAAUGUUGAUCCAUUUGCCUUUAGAAAGGGUUAGGACUCUGGUGAGAGCUAUGAGUUCUGCUUUUUGAGAGGAGGUUCCUGGAGGUAGGGGCUUAGCUUCAAUUACUUGGUCAAGGGAAACAACCUCUUACCUAGCAAUUUUGGGAGAGCCAGUGGGCCCAGAAGAGGAGGCAUCUAUAAAUAGUUGGUCAUUGGGGUCGGUGAGAGGCUCAGAGGAAAUGCUUGGAAAGUGUGGCUGCAGGUGAUCUAGGAUGUCAGUGCAAGAAUGAGUAGGAGGGGAAGGGGAUACGGGGAGUAAUGAUGCUGGCUUGAGGGGAGCACUUUUGGCAAUACUGAAUUCGGGAUUUUCGAUAAAGAGGGCAUGGAAUGAUCGAAUCCGGUAAGGAGGAAGGGAGCCUAAUGCUCAGGAGAAGAGGAAAUCCUGUAGAUUAUGAGGACUGUAGACAGUGUUAUUUUGACUGAAUGUUAGUUUCCUGGUUAUUUUUGGACCUAAAGUGGCUGCUGUUGCUAGCACUCUAAGACAGGUUGGCCAUCCUCUGACUGUGUUGUCUAAUUGUUUAGAGAGGUAGGCUACAGGGGCAAAGGAAGGAGGGUCUUCUUUCUGCUGCCCUAAGAUACUGAGGGCUAUUCCUUGGCUUUCGGCAGUAUAGAGAAUGAAAGGUUGGGAGAUACUAGGUAAGGACAGAGCUGGUGUAGUGACAAGAGCAGUUUGGAGUUCACGGAGCUGGGGAGUAUGUUAUGUGAGGAGUUUGGGGAUUAACUGAGAGGGCCUUUUGCCACUUCAUAGAGGGGGUGAGCUAGGAGGGCAAAGUUGGGAAUCUAUAUUCUAAAGAAGCCUGCUAGUCCUAGGAAGGAAAGGACUUCGCUGUUGGAGGAGGGCAGGGCAGAUUAUUUAUCUAUUAGUGCCACUUGGGUUUGGGUCAUAGCCCGGGCCCCAGGAGAAAGUUGAAUUCCUAAGUAGGUCACCAUGGAGGUGGAGAGUAGUGUGGAUUUUUGAAAGGAUGUUUCUGCCUAGGAGUAGAGUUGGACAUGAGGGCAGGACUAAGAAAGAGUGAGUGAAGGAAAAGGUGUGCAGGGAACAGAAGAGUGGAGGGGUGGCUCGGGGUUUGGAGACUUGCCCAUCAAUUCCUACAACAGAGACCUGGGAGGACUUGGUGGGUCCUGAAAAAUUAGGUAAAGCAGAGUAGGUUGUCCCAGUAUUGAAAAAAAAAAACAUACUGGCCUACCUGCCACCAUCAGGGUUACCCUUGGCUCGGAUGAAGAGAUGGUAGUUGCCAGGGCGUCCGUUCCAGGGCACCAUCAGUCUUCAGUGGCAAGGCCGAUGAGAUCUGAGUAGGAGGUUUUGGCCAGUUCAGGAAGGGAUGGGGGCAGUCCUUGUGGGGGCCACUCACAGUCUGACUUCCAGUGGCGUCCUCCGCAGAGGGGCACAGCCUGGUGGGCUUAUCUGGGUUAGGGCAUUGUCUGGACUAGUGGCCUUCACUGCCGCACUUGAAACAGGCACCAGGUGGAGGUGGAUUGCUAGGAGGCUUCCAUGUGGAGCUGCGCCCUGUUGCCUGCAGGGCCCCUGAUGGCAGAGGCAAGCGUUUGAAACUCUGCCUGUUUUUGCCUUUCUUUCCUCAUCACGAUUGUUAAAAGACUUUGAAGGCUAAAUUAAGAAGGUCUCGUUGUGGGGUUUGAGGGCUGUCGUCAAGCUUCUGAAGCUUGUGCCGAAUAUUGGGUGUGGAUUGGGAGAUAAAAUGGGUAUUAAGAACAAUAGUUCCUUCCUGGGAGGCAGGGUCAAUGUGGGUAUAUUUUUGGAAAGCCUCUGUAAGGCAGAAAAGGAAUUGAGCAAGAUUUUCAUCUGGUUUUGGGAAAUUUCUUUAAGAUUUUCAAAAUUUACAGCCUUAUGGGCAGCUUUGUUAAUGCCUGCAGUGACGCAAGUAAUUAUAUGGUUAUGGGAUGCUUGGCUGGAGUUUGUGGGUUGGUACUCCCAGGAAGGCUUUUCCCAGGUAACAGCAGCGGCUUCUACAGGCUUAGUAGGAUCUUGCCAAUGAAGAUCAUCAGCUUGUGCCUGUGCUGUGAGCCACACUCUUUUCUUCUCUUCUGGAAGGAGGGUAUAAAAGAGGAUAAUGUAGAGAUCAUGCCAAGUGAGUUCAUUAGAUUGGGACACUUGGCCUCUUCAGGAACUAUACAGAUGUUUCUACUCUUUACAGAAUAACCUACAGCAGCUGUGCAUUUUAACACUCCAUGGGGAAAAAUAUAACAGAAAAUACAGUGAAUAUGGAAUUCACACUGGUCAUUUAGAUUGCCAUACUGCCUGAAGCUUUGGGGACUCUUGGCUAUAUUAAAGCUUUAUGUCUGCCUUUUGGAACACAAAAAUAAAUAUUUUCUUUAGCUAGAAUAAUUUCAAAGAUGAUAUAAAGUACCAGAGACUGUAAGUACCAGAAAAUUCCUAGUAACACCACUUUCCAGAAGUUGCACUUUUGAAAUAAACUAUUCUUUUUUCUAAACAUUUAACUUCAGUUAACAUCAAAAGAGAAACAAUAUUUAUAAAUUUAUUAAUUAAAACUCUAUAAAAUCUAAUCUCUCUUUAGCUCUAAGACUAUUUUCCUGAGAACUGGAAUUCUGUGCAGUGCUAAGUUCUUAUUGAGAGAGAAAAUUGCUGUGAAACCUAAAC
rnacentral:lncRNA from 1 species